GGGGGUGUAGCUCAGUGGUAGAACACUUGCCUAGCAUGUAUAAGACCCUGGGUUUGAUCCCCAGCACCACAG
rnacentral:tRNA from 1 species